UGGACGUUACUCGCAGAAUAAGCACCGGCUAACUCUGUGCCAGCAGCCGCGGUAAUACAGAGGGUGCAAGCGUUAAUCGGAUUUACUGGGCGUAAAGCGCGCGUAGGUGGCCAAUUAAGUCAAAUGUGAAAUCCCCGAGCUUAACUUGGGAAUUGCAUUCGAUACUGGUUGGCUAGAGUAUGGGAGAGGAUGGUAGAAUUCCAGGUGUAGCGGUGAAAUGCGUAGAGAUCUGGAGGAAUACCGAUGGCGAAGGCAGCCAUCUGGCCUAAUACUGACACUGAGGUGCGAAAGCAUGGGGAGCAAACAGGAUUAGAUACCCUGGUAGUCCAUGCCGUAAACGAUGUCUACUAGCCGUUGGGGCCUUUGAGGCUUUAGUGGCGCAGCUAACGCGAUAAGUAGACCGCCUGGGGAGUACGGUCGCAAGACUAAAACUCAAAUGAAUUGACGGGGGCCCGCACAAGCGGUGGAGCAUGUGGUUUAAUUCGAUGCNACGCGAAGAACCUUACCUGGUCUNGACAUAGUA
rnacentral:rRNA from 1 species